rnacentral:rRNA from 1 species
CCUACGUGGGUCAGCAGUGAGGAAUAUUGGUCAAUGGGCGCGAGCCUGAACCAGCCAAGUCGCGUGAGGGAAGACGGCCCUACGGGUUGUAAACCUCUUUUGCCGGGGAGCAACGUGCGCCACGUGUGGCGCCACUGGCAGUACCCGUAGAAAAAGCAUAGGCUAACUCCGUGCCAGCAGCCGCGGAAAUACGGAGGAUGCGAGCUUUAUCCGGGUUUCUUUGGUUUAAAGGGUGCGUAGGCGGCGCGUUAAGUCAGUGGUCAAAUUGAGGGGCUCAACCCCUUCCCGCCAUUGAAACUGGCGCUCUUGAGUGGAAGAGAAGUAUGCGGAAUGCGUGGUGUAGCGGUGAAAUGCAUAGAUAUCACGCAGAACCCCGAUUGCGAAGGCAGCAUGCCGGCUUCCGACUGACGCUGAAGCACGAAAGCGUGGGGAUCGAACAGGAUUAGAUACCCGGGUAGUC